ACGCACGUGUGAAACUUGAAGGAAUUGACGGAAGGGCACCACAAGAACGCGUGGAUCAUGUGGCUUAAUUUGACCCAACGCGGGGAAAUCUUACCGGGUCCGGACACACUGAGGAUUGACAGGUUUCGAGAGUUUUUUUGGAGUUCGCUCCAGAAUGCUCUCUUAAAUAUGCUAGUCCUUUCAUGAUUAUGUGAUAGGUGGUGCAUGGCCGUUCUUAGUUCGUGGAGUGAUCUGUCUGCUUAAUUGCGUUUCACUAAAGGCGUCAUUAUAUUUUUGUGCUUGUGUUUGACCCCUCUUUCUUCGGAUUGAGCGCGUGUCUUUCACACACAAUUACUUUGACGUCUGAAAGCAACGAACGUGAC
rnacentral:rRNA from 1 species